GCGGGUAUGGCGGAAUUGGCAGACGCGCCAGAUUUAGGAUCUGGUGGUUAUCCAUGCAGGUUCGACCCCUGUUACCCGCACCA
rnacentral:tRNA from 1 species